rnacentral:rRNA from 1 species
GGGGGGGGGGGGGGGGGGGGGGGGGGGGGGGGGGGGGGGGGGGGGGGGGGGGGGCGGGGGGCUGGGGUGGUAGGGGCGGACGGGGGAGGGAGGGGUGGAUAGGGUACCUAUGAGGCUGGGGGAACUUCGGGAAGCGGGGGCGAAUACAGGAUGAUAUUUUGAACCGCGUGGUUCAAGGUGGGAGGCGGUACUUGCUGUCACUUAUAGCUGGGUCCGCGCUGCCUUAGCUAGUUGGUAAGGUAAGGGCUUACCAAGGCAACGAUGCAUAGCCGACCUGAGAGGGUGAUCGGCCACACUGGAACUGAGACACGGUCCAGACUCCUACGGGAGGCAGCAGUAGGGAAUCUUCCGCAAUGGGCGAAAGCCUGACGGAGCAACGCCGCGUGAGUGAUGAAGGUCUUCGGAUCGUAAAACUCUGUUAUUAGGGAAGAACAUAUGUGUAAGUAACUGUGCACAUCUUGACGGUACCUAAUCAGAAAGCCACGGCUAACUACGUG